rnacentral:rRNA from 1 species
GACGAACGCUGGCGGCGUGCUUAACACAUGCAAGUCGAACGGAAAGGCCCUGCUUGCAGGGUACUCGAGUGGCGAACGGGUGAGUAACACGUGGGUGAUCUGCCCUGCACUUCGGGAUAAGCCUGGGAAACUGGGUCUAAUACCGGAUAGGAGCCAUUUUUAGUGUGAUGGUUGGAAAGUUUUUUCGGUGUAGGAUGAGCUCGCGGCCUAUCAGCUUGUUGGUGGGGUAAUGGCCUACCAAGGCGGCGACGGGUAGCCGGCCUGAGAGGGUGGACGGCCACAUUGGGACUGAGAUACGGCCCAGACUCCUACGGGAGGCAGCAGGGGGGAAUAUUGCACAAUGGGCGCAAGCCUGAUGCAGCGACGCCGCGUGGGGGAGGACGGCCUUCGGGUUGUAAACGCCUUUCGCUAGGGACGAAGCUUUUUGUGACGGUACCUAGAUAAGAAGCACCGGCUAACUACGUG